UCAGUAGAAGCCAAAACAGAGGCCUGUCUUUGUUAAUGACAUAAGUGAAAUUUUUUUCCUACUGAG
rnacentral:tRNA from 1 species